GUAGAUAAACCUUACUCCAUUUGGAUUGAAGAGGAAAAGAGAAAGAUACACAUAGAUCUUAAAACAAAGAACUUUAUAAUAAUGUCUCUAGAUGAUAGCAAAAAUUAUGAUGUUCAUAGUUGUAAAAAUACCAAGAAAACGUAGGAGACUCUUGAAAUGAUAUAUGCAGUUUCUCCUGGUAUCAAACAAGAGAAGAUUGAAAAUUAUGUUGGAAACGG
rnacentral:lncRNA from 1 species